UUACUGUCGUUCCAAUUGAAGUGUUCCUCAAAUAUUGAUUCAAUACAUUACCUCGGGCUGACCAAUUCAUUUGAUCAAGUUCCUCGAAAUAUUCAUACACUUCCUAGUAUAAUUGUAAACUUCCUGUUGAAUAGUUUGAAUGCACCAAUCACCUUCGUUGUUUGUGCAACUAACCAUUCAUAAAUAGAAAGGAAGUGACCAGAAAUGAUCAAAUACUUGGAAUUGGCUCUUUCACAGGAAGUGUAUGAAUAUCUCGAGGAACUUGAUGAAAUGAAUUGGUCAGCCUGAGGUAAUGUAUUGAAUCAAUAUUUGAGGAACACUUCAAUUGGAACGACAGUAAA
rnacentral:lncRNA from 1 species